rnacentral:rRNA from 1 species
AUUGAACGCUGGCGGCAUGCCUUACACAUGCAAGUCGAACGGCAGCACGGGAGCAAUCCUGGUGGCGAGUGGCGAACGGGUGAGUAAAGUAUCGGAACGUGCCCAGUCGUGGGGGAUAACGUAGCGAAAGUUACGCUAAUACCGCAUACGAUCUAUGGAUGAAAGCGGGGGAUCGCAAGACCUCGCGCGAUUGGAGCGGCCGAUAUCAGAUUAGGUAGUUGGUGGGGUAAAGGCUCACCAAGCCGACGAUCUGUAGCUGGUCUGAGAGGACGACCAGCCACACUGGGACUGGGACCCGGCCCAGACUCCUACGGGAGGCAGCAGUGGGGAAUUUUGGACAAUGGGCGAAAGCCUGAUCCAGCCAUGCCGCGUGCAGGAUGAAGUCCCUCGGGUUGUAAACUGCUUUUGUACGGAACGAAAAGGUUUGGCCUAAUAAGCUGAGCUCAUGACGGUACCGUAAGAAUAAGCACCGGCUAACUACGUGCCAGCCGCCGCCGUAA